rnacentral:lncRNA from 1 species
GAUAAAAUUAUUGAUAAUAUCAAUGCUAGUUAAAUUUGAUCUAAUUUGAUUUAUUUUUUCCUUUAUUUCCAGGUUUUGCUUAGUGUACGAGAUGCAAAAAGAGUUUGGAACUGCUACCUUAUGAUACAAAAAUUGAAAAAAUAGCAAAAAGAUUGAGGAAAAAGAAGGGAGAGGCUCGAAAAAAUUCAAACACUUUGGCAGACUACAAGAAUCCAAGACGUGGCACACGAGCUCU